GCUCCCGUAGCUCAGUCGGAUCAGAGCAACGGCCUUCUAAGCCGUGGGUCGCAGGUUCGAGUCCUGCCGGGAGCG
rnacentral:tRNA from 1 species